rnacentral:rRNA from 1 species
GACGAACGCUGGCGGCGUGCCUAAUACAUGCAAGUAGAACGCUGAAGGAGGAGCUUGCUUCUCUGGAUGAGUUGCGAACGGGUGAGUAACGCGUAGGUAACCUGCCUGGUGGCGGGGGAUAACUAUUGGAAACGAUAGCUAAUACCGCAUAAGAGUAGAUGUUGCAUGACAUUUGCUUAAAAGGUGCAAUUGCAUCACUACCAGAUGGACCUGCGUUGUAUUAGCUAGUUGGUGGGGUAACGGCUCACCAAGGCGACGAUACAUAGCCGACCUGAGAGGGUGAUCGGCCACACUGGGACUGAGACACGGCCCAGACUCCUACGGGAGGCAGCAGUAGGGAAUCUUCGGCAAUGGACGGAAGUCUGACCGAGCAACGCCGCGUGAGUGAAGAAGGUUUUCGGAUCGUAAAGCUCUGUUGUAAGAGAAGAACGAGUGUGAGAGUGGAAAGUUCACACUGUGACGGUAUCUUACCAGAAAGGGACGGCUAACUACGUG